rnacentral:lncRNA from 1 species
GGCACUAGAAUGGUGUUUUUGGGGUGUUUUGCUACCUAGAGGUUGUAUGGAUGAAUUUUCUGUGAUGAAUGAUGAAUAUGAGAGUGUGAACCCUUUGCCAAGGGGUGUAAACAUGUAUAUAUAGGCCCCAAAAACCUUAGAGAAUUAGGUUAGGCUAGGGAGAAUGCACGGCAAAGAGUGUUUGUGGUGUGCAAUGGUCCAAGGGUGAAAAUGAAGUGAUGAUGCAAAGUGUGAAGGGUAAAAUGGAGUGGUCUUGUAGCUAGGGAGCAUGAAUGAUUGGUGUACAUUGCAUAGAGAGAUGGAAAGGGAGGUGAAAAUGUGUCAAUAAAUGGGUCAAAGGUGCAGCAACAUGUGGUACACAAGGCAUGGGAUUCCAAAUGUGAAUGAUGGAGCAUCAAUUUGUGCAUGUUAUGGUUGUGAAAGUUGUAUAAAAUUUUGUGGGUGAAGGGAACAAGAGGUAUCAAGCAA